CCAUUUUGUCGACUACAUUUACAGCUUGCGCACUCUUUUUCUCAGAUUUCCACUCGAUCCGAGUCACCUACAGGCACAGAGAGACAGAGAUUUGGGUUAUGCAAUGACUUUGAAUUAUCCUUAGCCAUACAGUGCUCAACAUUUCACGACAGGAGUUGUACCUUUCUUAUGCUCGGAUCUGUGGGUCUGACACGCUUUGCUUCUGUUUCUACUUUGCAGACAUCAGAUCCGUGAGCCGUCUACACACAUUUUAACUCACAAAAAUUUGGUGUCUUGUUGCCUCUCUCUUUUGUUGUGGAUCCACGUACUCUCGCAGAAACAAAGGCAUGCAUGCAUUAGUUUUUUUUUUUCCAUGAAAAGAAGCUCACUGGAACUAAAUGACAGCAUGGAACGAUUUUUUUUUACCUUUAGCAUUUCAGGAUUCCCGACCGAGCUCC
rnacentral:lncRNA from 1 species